rnacentral:rRNA from 1 species
GAUGAACGCUGGCGGCGUGCCUAAUACAUGCAAGUCGAGCGAACAGACGAGGAACUUUCUCCUCUGACGUUAGCGGCGGACGGGUGAGUAACACGUGGAUAACCUACCUAUAAGACUGGGAUAACUUCGGGAAACCGGAGCUAAUACCGGAUAAUAUAUUAAACCGCAUGGUUCAAUAGUGAAAGACGGUUUUGCUGUCAAUUAUAGAUUGAUCCGCGCCGCAUUAGCUAGUUGGUAAGGUAACGGCUUACCAAGGCAACGAUGCGUAGCCGACCUGAGAGGGUGAUCGGCCACCCGGGAACUGAGACACGGUCCAGACUCCUAAGGGAGGCCGCAGUAGGGAAUCUUACGCAAUGGGGGAAAGCCUGACGGAGCAACGCCGCGUGAGUGAUGAAGGUCUUCGGAUCGUAAAACUCUGUUAUUAGGGAAGAACAAAUGUGUAAGUAACUAUGCACGUCUUGACGGUACCUAAUCAGAAAGCCACGGCUAACUACGUG